GGGAACGUAAUGGGUUCGACGGGGAUUAUAAGUUUAGGUAAGCGAGUAGUGUAGGCGAAUCACUUAAAAAACGCGCUUUAAAAAUUAAAUGGAGACGAUCCAAAAAACAAAAAAGUAAUCAAUGUAGAUUUCCGUAAGGUAAGGGCACAAAAAGCCGCUUAAUCUUAUUGAUUAUGAGCCUAACAAUUAGGCGACGUCCUUUUUUGGAGCACCACGGCCGGAUUAGGGCGACAAAUAGUGGUGAACGUGAUUCGGAAAGUGUCUCGCAUCCGGACAUGAACCAGAGACUACCUGAAAUUAAUGUUUUUCAAUGUACUUAUUUUUAGGGAAUUUAUUACAUUGAAUACACUCGUAGAAAGCUUAAGCAAAUAAUUUUCGGACAGGGGUUCGAUUCCCCUCGUUUCCACCA
rnacentral:tmRNA from 1 species